rnacentral:tRNA from 4 species
GGCCCUGUGGGGUAGUUUGGCAUCCUUCGACGUUCGGGACGUCGGUACUCAGGUUCAAAUCCUGGCUGGGCCACCA